rnacentral:lncRNA from 1 species
GUCAAUAUUGUACCGAGGGCGUCUUUAGAGUAUACCGAAUCAGUAUAGCUAUCCUUCUUCUGACACAGCAACGCAAUUUGAAUUAGUAUCAAAAGUAAGUACUAAAUAAUUUCUUUUUUCCUUUACUUGUUGAUGUAAAAUCAUCUUCCCUUCAAUAGAAAAUUCUUUCAAUUCAAUGAAAAAGAUUCUCAUAUUCCCACAAUU